rnacentral:rRNA from 1 species
AUGGUUAGGAGUGUACCGAUUGGUGAGAAGCUCUUCAUAGGAGGAGACCUCAAUGGCCACGUGGGUACAUCUAACACAGGUUUUGAAGGGGCGCAUGGGGGCUUUGGCUAUGGCAUCAGGAAUCAAGAAGGAGAAGAUGUCUUAAGCUUUGCUCUAGCCUACAACAUGAUUGUAGCUAACACCCUCUUUAGAAAGAGAGAAUCGCAUCUGGUGACUUUUAGUAGUGGCCAACACUCUAGCCAGAUUGAUUUCAUCCUCUCAAGAAGAGAAGAUAGGCGUGCGUGCCUAGACUGUAAGGUGAUACCUGGAGAGAGUGUUGUACCCCAACAUAAGCUGGUGGUUGCUGACUUCCGCUUUCGGAUUCGUGUCCAGUGGGAUAAGCGUGCCAAAGUCGCUAGAACGAAGUGGUGGAAGCCCAAGGGGGAGGUAGCUCAGGCGUUCAAGGAGAGGGUCAUUAAGGAGGGCCCUUGGGAGGAAGGAGGGGAUGCGGACAAUGUGUGGAUGAAGAUGGUGACUUGCAUUCGUAAGGUGGCCUCGGAGGAGUUUGGAGUGUCCAGGGGAAGGAGAAGCGAAGAUAAGGAUACCUGGUGGUGGAAUGAUGAUGUCCAGAAGGCGAUUAAAGAGAAGAAAGAUUGCUUCAGCGCCUAUACCUGGAUAGGAGUGCAGACAACAUAG